rnacentral:tRNA from 1 species
GCAGAUGUAGUCUAGCCCGGUAAGGCGCUGGCCUCGAGAGCUGAAUAAGCCAAGUAAGCCAGUGUGCGUAACGCAUGCGGGGGUUCGAAUCCCUCCAUCUGCG